rnacentral:rRNA from 1 species
GACGAACGCUGGCGGCGUGCCUAAUACAUGCAAGUUGAGCGCUGAAGGUUGGUACUUGUACCAACUGGAUGAGCAGCGAACGGGUGAGUAACGCGUGGGGAAUCUGCCUUUGAGCGGGGGACAACAUUUGGAAACGAAUGCUAAUACCGCAUAAAAACUUUAAACACAAGUUUUAAGUUUGAAAGAUGCAAUUGCAUCACUCAAAGAUGAUCCCGCGUUGUAUUAGCUAGUUGGUGAGGUAAAGGCUCACCAAGGCGAUGAUACAUAGCCGACCUGAGAGGGUGAUCGGCCACAUUAGGACUGAGACACGGCCCAAACUCCUACGGGAGGCAGCAGUAGGGAAUCUUCGGCAAUGGACGAAAGUCUGACCGAGCAACGCCGCGGGAGUGAAGAAGGUUUUCGGAUCGUAAAACUCUGUUGGUAGAGAAGAACGUUGGUGAGAGUGGAAAGCUCAUCAAGUGACGGUAACUACCCAGAAAGGGACGGCUAACUACGUG